rnacentral:rRNA from 1 species
CGGUGUUCAACUGGCGUGCCCGCGGGACGUCCUGCCGGUGAGCUCAGCCCGCGAGGGCGGCUCAACUUGAAAUCCCAUCGCGGUGCUCUUCAUUGAGUGUCGAGGUGGGCCGGCACGAUUACUUUUGAACAAAUUAGAGUGCUUAAAGCAGGCUAAAAUUUUGCCUGAAUACUGUGUAUAUGGAAUAAUGGAAUAGGACCUCGGUUCUAUUUUGUUGGUUUUCGGAACCCCGAGGUAAUGAUUAAUAGGAACGGAUGGGGGCAUUCGUAUUGCGACGUUAGAGGUGAAAUUCUUGGAUCGUCGCAAGACGGACUAAAGCGAAAGCAUUUGCCAAAAACGCUUUCAUUGAUCAAGAACGAAAGUUAGGGGUUCGAAGGCGAUCAGAUACCGCCCUAGUUCUAACCAUAAACUAUGCCAGCUAGCGAUCCGCCGACGUCCCUCUGAUGACUCGGCGGGCAGCUUCCGGGAAACCAAAGCUUUUGGGUUCCGGGGGAAGUAUGGUUGCAAAGCUGAAACUUAAAGGAAUUGACGGAAGGGCACCACCAGGAGUGGAGCCUGCGGCUUAAUUUGACUCAACACGGGAAACCUCACCAGGCCCAGACACUGGAAGGAUUGACAGAUUGAGAGCUCUUUCUUGAUUCAGUGGGUGGUGGUGCAUGGCCGUUCUUAGUCGGUGGAGCGAUUUGUCAGGUUAAUUCCGAUAACGGACGAGACUCUGACCUGAUAACUAGACGCACUUGCGGCAUCUCAAAGGUCCGCCGGCGGCUGGCUUUGCGCCCGUCGUCGCGCGCGAUUUUUACUGCCGGCGUACAAUAAAUUCUUCUUAGAGGGACAAGUGG